GAUGAAGAACGUAGCGAAAUGCGAUAAGUAGUGUGAAUUGCAGAAUUCAGUGAAUCAUCGAAUCUUUGAACGCACAUUGCGCCCCUUGGUAUUCCAUGGGGCAUGCCUGUUCGAGCGUCAUUUGUACCUUCAAGCUUUGCUUGGUGUUGGGUGUUUGUCUCGCUUUUGCGUGUAGACUCGCCUUAAAAUAAUUGGCAGCCGGCGUAUUGAUUUCGGAGCGCAGUACAUCUCGCGCUUUGCACUCAUAACGACAGCGUCCAAAAGUACAUUUUACACUCUUGACCUCGGAUCAGGUAGGGAUACCCGCUGAACUUAAGCAUAUCAAUAAGCGGAGGA
rnacentral:misc_RNA from 1 species